rnacentral:rRNA from 1 species
UACAGAGGCCUCGAGCGUUAGGCGGAAUCACUGGGCUUAAAGCGUGUGUAGGUGGAGUUCUAAGUACCUUGUGAAAUCCCACGGCUCAACCGUGGAACUGCUUGGCAUACUGGCGGUCUUGAGCAACCUAGGGGCGAGCGGAACAAAUGGUGGAGCGGUGAAAUGCGUAGAUAUCAUUUGGAACGCCAAUGGUGAAAACAGCUCGCUGGGGGUUUGCUGACGCUGAGACGACGAAAGCCAGGGGAGCAAGCGGG